AACGCAUAUUGCGCUCUCUGGUAUUCCGGGGAGCAUACCUGUUUCAGCAUCAUUGGAACAUCUCAAAAUCGUUUGUUUUUGAUGAUUUUGGAAAGCUGGGCUUUUCUGUUGUGUGCUUAAUACAACUAGCCUGAAAUUUGUGAUAAAUGAAAUGCAAGAAAACAUGUAGUUGCUUUGUUGCAAAAGACGAAAAGCUAAUUAGAUGACCGUGGUCAAACUUGCUGACUAGUCUUCAAAACUAGGCGAAUCUACAUUCACAAAUUGAUCUGAAAUCAGGUAGGAUUACCCGCUGAACUUAA
rnacentral:misc_RNA from 1 species